rnacentral:rRNA from 1 species
GAUGAACGCUGGCGGUGUGCCUUAUACAUGCAUGUCGAACGAGGCGUAGCAAUACGUCUAGUGGCAAAUGGGUGAGUAAUAAAUAGGUAACCAACCCUUAAGACGGGGAUACCCCAUCGAAAGAUGGAAUAAUACCCGAUAAUGUCCCUUCCGGUGCGCUGGAGGGGAAGAAAGAUGGCGCAAGCUAUCACUUUUGGACGGGCUUAUUUCCUAUCAGCUAGUUGGUGAGGUAACGGCUUACCAAGGCUACGACGGGUAGCUGGUCUGAGAGGACGGUCAGCCACAUUGGGACUGCGACACGGCCCAGACUCCUACGGGAGGCAGCAGUCGGGAAUAUUCGGCCAAUGCGCGAAAGCGUGACCGAGCGACACCGCGUGGGCGACGAAGAUCUUAGGAUUGUAAAGCCCUUUUGCCAGGGAAGAAUACGCUGGAGACAAUAUCAAUAGCGUUUGACGGUACCUGGCGAAUAAGCCGCAGCAAACUACGUGCCAGCAGCCGCGGU